AGCAUUAUUUUGUUGAAAUAAUAUCUUCCUGGCAGUUUCAAUGAAAACAAAGUUUGUAUCCUAAAAGGGCUCUCAAGGUCACUGUACAAACAUCUAGCAGAAAAAAAAAACAAAUACCAUGCAUGACAGCAUGAAGGGGGUCAGCAAGAUACAGCACAGCAUGAUUAUUGAUGGUUUUGAAGAUGCGGCGGCACAGUGGAUCAGUUGGUAAAGCGUUGGCCUCCCAGUUCUGAGGUCCUGGGUCCAAUCCUAGACCCGCCUGUGUGGAGUUUGCAUGUUCUCCCCGUGCCUGCGUGAGUUUCCUCCGGGCACUCCAGUUUCCUCCCACAUUCCAAAAACAUGCAACAUUAAUUGGACAAUCUAAAUUGCCCCAAGGUGUGAUUGUGAGUGUGUCUGUCUCAAUGUGCCUUGCGAUUGAGCUGGCAACCAGUUCAGGGUGUACCCUGCCUCCUGCCCGUUGACAGCUGGGAUAGGCUCCAGCACUCCCUGCGACCCUUGUGAGGAUAAGCGGGAAAGAAAAUGGAUGGAUGGAGGUCAUAAUGCGACAUUUGGAAAGCCAGCCUGCGGAGAUGUUGCAGGGCUGUAGUGGAGUGAGCAGUAGGUCUCCUUGUGAUAAUACAGAUCUGGAGAAGCUGGAGUUUUUAUAGUAACUUGUAAGGGAGACCAAACAGGAGCGAGUUGCAGUUGUUGUUUACCUGUGCUUGGAAAGACAGUGUGCUGUAAUCCAGCCACUUAACCUGAGCGGAGGGGAAACUGAAAGCAUCAAGUGCAAUGGAAAGUGUACAUUUGGUCAUACUCACAACAAAAUUUUCAGAACUCUUUGGCAAAUGUAGAUGACUGCAAGUUACAUUGUAACUAACUGUCAUACAAGUGGAAAAACAAGUCAAUCGGUCUAAUAUAAGUACAUUGUCAUGGGAUGAACUACUGAACCAGGGAGUUCAUUUAUGCCACAACAGCAGAAAGUUAUGGGAGAUAAAAUAUGACAUGGAUGUAAAUAAAUGGAGCUCAUUGCAUCAUGGGAAUUUAUUUAUGAUUGACGAGAUGUCUCGCCAUCAGCGAGUGAGUAAGAACCAUGAACUUUAUGAUUAUGAAAACACUGAACAGAGGUGAUCUUUCCAAGAAGUGUUUUGCUGACCAAAGUUAUUCCAAGAGUGGCAUCCAAAAGGUCGCAAAAGUCCUUACAACAUCCAAGGAACUCCAGGCCUCAUUUGCCUCAGUUAAGGUUCAUUGUUCAAGGUCCUCAUGACACAAUAAGGAAGAGAUUGGGUAAGAAUGGACAGAGUUCCAAGACAAAAAAACACUGGUGAGCAGUAAGAAUCUCAAUUUUCCAAGAAGACAUCUUGGUGAUCCCCAAGACUUACAUAGAAAGUACUCUGACGGGACUAAAGUUGAAAUUUUUACAAGGACCUGGACCAGGACCUGCUUUGAAAAAUGUAACUGCUGGCUACAAAAAAUCCUGAAGGAGAAUGUCCAGCCAACUGUUUGUGACUUGAAAUUGGAACAAACUUUGGUUUUGCAGCAGGACGAUGAUCCAAAACACAUCAAGUCCAACUCUGAAUGGCUGAAGAAAGACAAAAUGAAAUCGCAAAACUUUUACGAUGCUGUUGCAUGACCUUAAGAGGGUGGUCCAUACUUGAAUACCUUCCAGUGUGACUGAAUUACAACAGUUCUGCAAAGAUAAGUGGGGUAUAAUUCCGCCCCAGUUAUGGCAAAUGUUGGUUGCAGUUUUUGCUGUGUAGUCA